CAGAGGGUGCAAGCGUUAAUCGGAAUGACUGGGCGUAAAGAGUGCGUAGGCGGCCAGAUGUGUCAAAGGUGAAAUCCCCGGGCUUAACCUGGGAACUGCCUGUGAAACUGUUUGGCUGGAAUAUAGGAGAGGGAAGUGGAAUUUCCGGUGUAGCGGUGAAAUGCGUAGAUAUCGGAAAGAACACCAGUGGCGAAGGCGACUUUCUGGCCUAAUAUUGACGCUGAGGCACGAAAGCGUGGGGAGCAAACAGGAUUAGAUACCCUGGUAGUCCACGCUGUAAACGAUGAGAACUAGAUGCAUGAUAACUGAGGUUAUUGUGUAUUGAAGCAAACGCAUUAAGUUCUCCGCCUGGGGAGUACGGCCGCAAGGUUA
rnacentral:rRNA from 1 species